CCUACGGGCGGCAGCAGUGGGGAAUCUUGCACAAUGGGGGAAACCCUGAUGCAGCGACGCCGCGUGAGCGAUGAAGCCCUUCGGGGUGUAAAGCUCUUUCGGCAGGAACGAUGAUGACGGUACCUGAAGAAGAAGCUGCGGCUAACUACGUGCCAGCAGCCGCGGUAAUACGUAGGCAGCGAGCGUUGUUCGGAGUUACUGGGCGUAAAGAGUGCGUAGGUGGUUCUCUAAGUUCGGUGUGAAAUCUCCCGGCUCAACUGGGAGGGUGCGCCGGAAACGGGAGGGCUGGAGUGCGGGAAAGGAGAGCGAAAUUCCUGGUGUAGCGGUAAAAUGCGUAGAUAUCAGGAGGAACACCGGUGGUGCGGACGGCUCUCGGGACCGAAACUGACCCUGAGGCACGAAAGCGUGG
rnacentral:rRNA from 1 species